CCAUUGUUGACUGCAGCAUGUUGGACAGACACUGUGAAGAUCACCAUGGUGAGAAACUUGAUCAGCUCUGUCAUCAACCUGAAAGACUGAGGGAUUCCUGCAUGGAGAAGGUACAGUAAACCACUUCAUUCAGACACUGUGAAGAUCACCAUGGUGAGAAACUUGACCAGCUCUGUCAUCAACCUGAAAGACUGAGGGAUUCCUGCAUGGAGAAGGUACAGUAAACCACUUCAUUCAGACACUGUGAAGAUCACCAUGGUGAGAAACUUGACCAGCUCUGUCAUCAACCUGAAAGACUGAGGGAUUCCUGCAUGGAGAAGGUACAGUAAACCACUUCAUUCAGACACUGUGAAGAUCACCAUGGUGAGAAACUUGACCAGCUCUGUCAUCAACCUGAAAGACUGAGGGAUUCCUGCAUGGAGAAGGUACAGUAAACCACUUCAUUCAGACACUGUGAAGAUCACCAUGGUGAGAAACUUGACCAGCUCUGUCAUCAACCUGAAAGACUGAGGGAUUCCUGCAUGGAGAAGGUACAGUAAACCACUUCAUUCAGACACUGUGAAGAUCACCAUGGUGAGAAACUUGAUCAGCUCUGUCAUCAACCUGAAAGACUGAGGGAUUCCUGCAUGGAGAAGGUACAGUAAACCACUUCAUUCAGACACUGUGAAGAUCACCAUGGUGAGAAACUUGAUCAGCUCUGUCAUCAACCUGAAAGACUGAGGGAUUCCUGCAUGGAGAAGGUACAGUAAACCACUUCAUUCAGACACUGUGAAGAUCACCAUGGUGAGAAACUUGAUCAGCUCUGUCAUCAACCUGAAAGACUGAGGGAUUCCUGCAUGGAGAAGGUACAGUAAACCACUUCAUUCAGACACUGUGAAGAUCACCAUGGUGAGAAACUUGACCAGCUCUGUCAUCAACCUGAAAGACUGAGGGAUUCCUGCAUGGAGAAGGUACAGUAAACCACUUCAUUCAGACACUGUGAAGAUCACCAUGGUGAGAAACUUGACCAGCUCUGUCAUCAACCUGAAAGACUGAGGGAUUCCUGCACAGAGGAGACAGUAUGCCACAAUGAUCAGACACCAAACGAACAAAUGAUCCAGAAUAUAGUUUGGGAAUGAGAAGCAUAAGUGAACGGACACGUUUAUUAUCAGAAAUCAUUUAAGUGUAGUCUGUCAAAUUGCACCCUUUUCCCUAUAUAGUGUACUACUUUUGACCAGAGAGCUGUUGCCAUUUGUGAUGCAGAUUGUGUAUUUAAAUGAGAAAA